rnacentral:rRNA from 1 species
GCUUACGGCCAUACCACCCUGAACACGCCCGAUCUCGUCUGAUCUCGGAAGCUAAGCAGGGCCGGGCCUGGUUAGUACUUGGAUGGGAGACCGCCUGGGAAUACCAGGUGCUGUAAGCUU